rnacentral:rRNA from 1 species
AGGGAGCGAGCGUUGUCCGGAAUUACUGGGUGUAAAGGGAGUGUAGGCGGGACUGCAAGUCAGAUGUGAAAUUUAGGGGCUUAACCCCUAAACUGCAUUUGAAACUGUGGAUCUUGAGUGAAGUAGAGGUAAGCGGAAUUCCUAGUGUAGCGGUGAAAUGCGUAGAUAUUAGGAGGAACAUCAGUGGCGAAGGCGGCUUACUGGGCUUUUACUGACGCUGAGGCUCGAAAGCAUGGGGAGCAA